rnacentral:rRNA from 1 species
GUGAGGAAUAUUGGUCAAUGGGCGGGAGCCUGAACCAGCCAAGUCGCGUGAAGGAAGAAGAAUCUAUGGUUCGUAAACUUCUUUUGCAGGGGAAUAAAGUGCAGAACGUGUCCUGUUUUGUAUGUACCCUGAGAAUAAGGAUCGGCUAACUCCGUGCCAGCAGCCGCGGUAAUACGGAGGAUCCGAGCGUUAUCCGGAUUUAUUGGGUUUAAAGGGUGCGUAGGUGGUUUGAUAAGUCAGCGGUGAAAGUUUGCAGCUUAACUGUAAAAAUGCCGUUGAAACUGUCGGACUUGAGUGUAAAUGAGGUAGGCGGAAUGCGUGGUGUAGCGGUGAAAUGCAUAGAUAUCACGCAGAACUCCGAUUGCGAAGGCAGCUUACUAAGCUACAACUGACACUGAAGCACGAAAGCGUGGGGAUCAAACAGGAUUAGAAACCCCAGUAGUCC